AUUGAACGCUGGCGGCAGGCCUAACACAUGCAAGUCGAGCGGGGUUUUCGGACCUAGCGGCGGACGGGUGAGUAAUGCGUAGGAAGCUACCCGAUAGAGGGGGACACCAGUUGGAAACGACUGUUAAUACCGCAUAAUGUCUACGGACCAAAGUGUGGGACCUUCGGGCCACAUGCUAUCGGAUGUGCCUACGUGGGAUUAGCUAGUUGGGGAGGUAAUGGCUCACCAAGGCGACGAACCCUAGCGGGUUUGAGAGGAUGAUCAGCCACCCUGGAACUGAGAGACGGUCCAGACUCCUCCGGGAGGCAGCAGUGGGGAAUAUUGGACAAUGGGCGCAAGCCUGAUCCAGCCAUGCCGCGUGUGUGAAGAAGGCCUUCGGGUUGUAAAGCACUUUCAGUAAGGAGGAAGCGUUGAGUGUUAAUAGUACUCAGCGUUGACGUUACUUACAGAAGAAGCACCGGCUAACUCUGUGCCAGCCGCCGCCGUAAGA
rnacentral:rRNA from 1 species